rnacentral:rRNA from 1 species
CACGUAGUUAGCCGUGGCUUCCUCCUCAGCUACCGUCAUUAUCGUCACUGAGGACAGAGGUUUACAAUCCGAAAACCUUCUUCCCUCACGCGGCGUCGCUGCAUCAGGGUUUCCCCCAUUGUGCAAUAUCCCCCACUGCUGCCUCCCGUAGGAGUCUGGGCCGUGUCUCAGUCCCAAUGUGGCCGAUCAACCUCUCAGUCCGGCUACCGAUCGUCGCCAUGGUGGGCCGUUACCCCGCCAUCUAGCUAAUCGGACGCGAGCCCAUCUUUCAGCGGAUUGCUCCUUUGAUAUCAGUGCCAUGCGGUACCGAUAUGUCAUGCGGUAUUAGCGUUCGUUUCCAAACGUUAUCCCCCUCUGAAAGGCAGGUUGCUCACGUGUUACUCACCCGUCGCCACUAAGACAAUCAAAAGCAAGCUCCUAAUUGUCUCCGUUCGACUUGCAUGUGUUAGGCGCGCCGCCAGCGUUCUCCUGAGCCAGGAUCAAACUCU